rnacentral:rRNA from 1 species
UCCAGACUCCUACGGGAGGCAGCAGUGGGGAAUAUUGGGCAAUGGGCGCAAGCCUGACCCAGCAACGCCGCGUGAAGGAAGAAGGCUUUCAGGUUGUAAACUUCUUUUAAGGGGGAAGAGCAGAAGACGGUACCCCUUGAAUAAGCCACGGCUAACUACGUGCCAGCAGCCGCGGUAAUACGUAGGUGGCAAGCGUUGUCCGGAUUUACUGGGUGUAAAGGGCGUGCAGCCGGAGAGACAAGUCAGAUGUGAAAUCCACGGGCUCAACCCGUGAACUGCAUUUGAAACUGUUUCCCUUGAGUGUCGGAGAGGUAAUCGGAAUUCCUUGUGUAGCGGUGAAAUGCGUAGAUAUAAGGAAGAACACCAGUGGCGAAGGCGGAUUACUGGACGAUAACUGACGGUGAGGCGCGAAAGCGUGGGGAGCAAACAGGAUUAGAUACCCGAGUAA